UUUUUUUUCAGCAACCUUUUCCUAUCCUGUUGAGCGUGGAUCCCGUCGAGUACGGCGGACGUGAGGGGUGCUAAUACCUUCCCCUUGCGUAACCGACUCCCGUGCCUUGCAAUCUCUGGUCGUAAGACCGUUCCUUUCCCCUUUCUUAGGUUAGUCCUGUGUUUCCUUUCCGUCAUAGGAUGAAUAGCGUCGGUGGCGGCUCUGUAAACUUGUUU
rnacentral:lncRNA from 1 species